CGCAUGGAGGAAAAAGGAAAGGCGGCUUCGGCUGCCACUUACAGAUGGGCCCGCGGCGCAUUAGCUAGUUGGCGGGGUAACGGCCCACCAAGGCAACGAUGCGUAGCCGACCUGAGAGGGUGAUCGGCCACAUUGGGACUGAGACACGGCCCAAACUCCUACGGGAGGCAGCAGUAGGGAAUCUUCCGCAAUGGACGAAAGUCUGACGGAGCAACGCCGCGUGAGUGAAGAAGGCCUUCGGGUCGUAAAACUCUGUUGCCGGGGAAGAACAAGUGCCGUUCGAACAGGGCGGCGCCUUGACGGUACCCGGCCAGAAAGCCACGGCUAACUACGUGCCAGCAGCCGCGGUAAUACGUAGGUGGCAAGCGUUGUCCGGAAUUAUUGGGCGUAAAGCGCGCGCAGGCGGCUUCUUAAGUCUGAUGUGAAAUCUUGCGGCUCAACCGCAAGCGGUCAUUGGAAACUGGGAGGCUUGAGUGCAGAAGAGGAGAGUGGAAUUCCACGUGUAGCGGUGAAAUGCGUAGAGAUGUGGAGGAACACCAGUGGCGAAGGCGGCUCUCUGGUCUGUAACUGACGCUGAGGCGCGAAAGCGUGGGGAGCAAACAGGAUUAGAUACCCUGGUAGUCCACGCCGUAAACGAUGAGUGCUAAGUGUUA
rnacentral:rRNA from 2 species